ensembl:miRNA MIR409 microRNA 409
UGGUACUCGGGGGGAGGUUACCCGGGCAACUUUGCAUCUGGACGACGAAUGUUGCUCGGUGAACCCCUCUUCGGUAUCA